AAUGCGCAAAAUACCACAUGACCUCAGUGUGUGCUCUAGUGUUGACAUCGUAACCAACAGCUGAUAUCAAAGUCUGACAUAAGAGAAGCCUAGAUCCUAACCUUCCUUUCAGAGAAUUUUUCUUCCAAUGUGACGAGACUACGUGACGGAUGUAGGUACCAUGCGUUAAUAACUGCACUACAUUUAUUAUUGCAAGUGACAGUGAUCAAUUUUCAUUCAGAACUUUUGUUUCAUUUUAAGAGAAAUUCAAGUCAAACCGGUCAGUGGAAACAAAACUGUGUUGAGUGAGCUACUGCGUGAUUAGCCUUUCAGGCCGAAUCUGCCGCCUGUUGAUAAUUUUCAGAGUCUUCCCUUCCCCUCUCCCUCGGAUUUGAGCUUUAACAUAAGCUGUAAACUAUAACGCUAACUGUGUUAUCCGAACUUGCUCUUUGGCAGGAUAUUUUCCAAACGCCGCGCACCGUGUUAUCCGAACUUGCUCGUUGGCAGGAUAUUUUUCACCCGCCACGCACCGUGCACCGGCACCAAAAACAUUUGCGUAGGUCAAGAACUCGCUGCAACAGCGCAAAGAACCGCGCACUAAACAUAUUUAAUGAGCCGCACAUUCUCCGCCCACCUUAAACGUUCGUUUAUUAUUCGAGGCAAUUCAUUGAAACGAUGAGCACGGUUAACUACGAUCUAGAACGUAUGGAGCCCUUGUCGAACUAUGCAGAGUUGCUCGAAACUUUCAAGCACGCAAAAUGUCCCGUCGUUCGAAAAAUACAGGGCCAAAUCCGUAAAGCAGAGCGCCGGAAUCAGAUUUACACCAACAUUCUCCUGGCUUAUUCUCAGCCAAAUAAACACAGCGGGAGGAGAAUGAGCUGUGCCGCACUCGGUGGACUACUCCUCGUCGUGCUGGUCGUUGCGUUUUGUGUCGGCGUCCAGAUUGGAGUCAAAAUGACCCGACCAAAACCACCUCCCUCGAUUUACAACACUUUAUUCGGCGUCAAACCUCAGAGGAGCCGCAUUUUUUGAACAACGAAAAAUGCUAGAAACUUUCCUGCUCCCUUGAGUUUGCACCGCCCAUGACUCCUCCGUGAUUUUACCGCGAGGUUCCAUUCAAAGGGCGACGGUGAUAUACGCUUUGUAGACGUGGCCCUGUAUCUACCAAGAGCGUCAUGCAAAUCUUUAAGGCACUGUGGAUAUUUUUCAUAGAUUUUUCCCGACAAUUUGACUAAUUUGUAUGUAAGUAUGAAUAAUUUUGAGUGAAAAAAAUGUGGCUCAUCCUCGAAAAAUCCAUCAACCUGGCGAACAAUAUAAUCCUCUGAGACAAAGGAUUAAUUAUGUACUUUUAAGUACGACUCCCAAAACUUGCAUCGAUGAAGGACAUGGUAUUUAUCUCUGGGUGUGUUACAGACCUAACUGUAAUGGUAACAAAAGCAUCAUUCAAGUCUUUAAGAUAUGAGUUGUGGAUGUUUUUCUACGAUUUACGCAUGAAUAUGAUACAUUUAUACGAAAUCAACAGAUUUUUCAUAGUUACACUGCACAUGAACAAUGGAUCAUUCAUAGUCUCUUAACAAGCGAAAAUAUGAGGUUUUAAGAUUGAUCGUUUAAAAUAGAAAGAUGAGUUACAAUUGACUGACAUAACUCAUGUUUCGUUUAUUUCUAUUGAUUAUUUUGACUAUUUUCUUUUAGGAAAAACUGGUUCACCUCCUUUUUUAAGUCAUAGUCCUAAAUUUUAUCAACAUUAUGAUCUCGACCGGCUAUAUUAAGAAACAAUAAUAAUUUUUCUAGUUAUUUUUCGUAGUUUUUGAUUCGAGUGGCGUUUAAUUGAUGCAGUGCAUAAUGCCUACUCUUGCUUCGUUUUGUUUUGUUUUUCUUUCUUCUUUGAAUUAUUUACUUCACAUGGUGGCUCUUUUCAUCAAGAACAUUAAUACACCUGUUAUUUUCGAUUUUUCUUAUCUUCAAUAAAUAAUCUUUCGUUUUUCGAAGUCUUUUAA